AAGAAAUCAAGGGCUUUGGGAUGUCACAGCCAUGUCUAGGCGAAAAAUGAACAGUAAAAAAUGUAAAGUGGAGAAUUGGGAAAAGUGAACAUUAUCCAAAAUUCUGCUUGUCUAAAACAAUUGAUACUCCAGCCGUAAACUGCAUUCAUCUGGGUUUCUUUGCAAAUGUUGAGGUUUACGUCUAUAUAAAAUGUAACAUCUGCUCAAAAUUCUAAUCUGUGACUAGAUUUUUAUCAGCCUAUGUGUUGUCCUCAGUAUACAGUAAUCCUACGCAUUUAUCUUGCUCAGAGGUGAAAGGGAAAGACCACAUGCAGCAUAAAAAAUGCAUAAUCAUUGAUUUGUGGACCUGUUUCUGGAAGGACUGUGAGGGGAUGGCAGAGGCUCGCCUUGUAGGAGACUGUUGCUGAUUACUGCUGACGUGUGGUGGUCUCUAAGGCGCUUGCUUAUAGCUGACGAAGCAUCACCCAGGUGGGUGCUACACUUCUCAGUGGUGAAUCUUUUCCGACCGCGGAGGAGGAGUCGCUGUGAACUUCAGAGACAAAGGUGCCUGAUGAAUAGCUCCGGUCCUGCCUGUCUGAAUAAUCUUACUCCCUAGCUGGUCCAUCGACACCAGCUUGACUCAAGCUUCUCCUGUACAGAACUGCAACAGCUGUGGAAGACCAGCUCCCUGACAUCUUUUUUGUGUGUGUGACUGAGAAUCUGUACGAAAAGUGCUAUUAUUAUUAUAAAGAUCCGAUUAAAUUACUAGAGGCGCUAUGUUAUAAACCCUCAAAGUUCCAGAAUGGUAUGAAAAUGGCAGCCAUUGUGGUCAGGCAGAAAUCCAAACCAGUCUAAUUGGAAUGAAUGGCAGUAGAGGCAUAGGUGAUGCAUUCCUUCUUUUACUGAUGCAGGGAAAUAAAAGCAAGGCAUGUGCAGGGGUGUCAUUUCAGCUAAACCUAGGGUAUGGCAGGGGGUGGGGUUUAUAAAGUUCAAGAUCAUUUACUGCAUUUCUACACAAUUCAAAACACUAAAAUGCAUUUUGGAGAACAAAAAAAACAACCCAAAUUUACUCCAGCCAUUAUCACCUUGGCUACUGUAACUUUCUUCACCUCAGUCGACAGGAGACUUAACAUUCUACAAACCCGUCAUACAGCAAUUCUCUGCUAUGCGCACGAGCUCAGCAUCGGGAUCAAAAAGUCUAGUUUCAUGUCAAGUCAAACAGCAGUUAUCUCGCCAUCUAGAGACAUCUUCCAGAUCUGCACUGUUUUGAGAGAAAAGUUCACUCACUGCAGAGCUGUGUCAAUGCGCUGUCCAUAGGCCUAAAGCCAGCUAGCCGGCCAAACAACCUUCCCGUCCUGCUCUGAGUUAUCCGCAUGGUCCAUAAACCAGCCCACUAUUACUGCUAAACUGCAUUUGCCUUUUAAUCGGGAUUGGAAUGAUUUUAGUAGCCUAUUUUAAAUUGUUGGCGCUGAGCUAGUGUAAGGCAACUGCCACACUCUGCCAUACCGAAGUGACACCCCUGGGCAUGCGAUGUAUCAGAAAUUGUGCAACAGAAUUAUUGUCAAGCCAGAAUAUUGUCAUAUCAUUAUACGUACAGUUUACACCAGUUUUAUACCAAUGUUUGGUAUAAAUAGCCUGUAAAAUAUAUGUAAACAGACCAUAAAUGUCUCAAUGUUUGUUUUCUUGAAAAGCUGUGUGGUAUACUAUGAUACAAUAUUGAUACUGGUUGCAUUUACACGUUUUCUAAGUCCUGUCAACUAAUUUCAGCAGUGUAUGGCUGUGGAUUGACUCCAUUGUUUGUAUGGAAUGUAGGUCAUUUGAUUUUUU
ensembl:lncRNA